GACUCCAUGGACCAAGCUGGUUUAAGGACGCGCGACUAGUUAAUCGCAAGAUCGUGAGUUCAAUCCUCACUGGGGUCG
rnacentral:tRNA from 1 species